rnacentral:rRNA from 1 species
AAGGUGCUCGUGUGGAAUGUCCGUGGCCUCAAUGAUCCGGUGUGGAGAAUCGCGAUUUUCCAAGUAGUCUCAGCAGCCAAUCCUAGCAUACUUUGCUUUCGGGAAACUAAGAUGGAAGUUGUAAAUCAGGGUGUGGUUCCGCACUGUUUGGGCAGUAAACUAGCAAGUUUCUAUUACCUUCCUGCCUCGAGCACUCAUUGA